rnacentral:tRNA from 1 species
GGGAGUAGUCAGGUCACUGGUGGGCCUCCUGGACUUCAAAUCCAGUGGUGGGAGUGCUCCUUCCAUGGUGGGUUCGAUUCCCAUCUACUCCCGCCA